AUUGAACGCUGGCGGCAUGCCUUACACAUGCAAGUCGAACGGUAACGGGCCUUCGGGUGCCGACGAGUGGCGAACGGGUGAGUAAUGUAUCGGAACGUACCUUUCAGUGGGGGAUAACGUAGCGAAAGUUACGCUAAUACCGCAUAUUCUGUGAGCAGGAAAGCAGGGGAUCGCAAGACCUUGCGCUGAUUGAGCGGCCGAUAUCAGAUUAGCUAGUUGGUGAGGUAAAGGCUCACCAAGGCGACGAUCUGUAGCGGGUCUGAGAGGAUGAUCCGCCACACUGGAACUGAGACACGGUCCAGACUCCUACGGGAGGCAGCAGUGGGGAAUUUUGGACAAUGGGGGCAACCCUGAUCCAGCCAUGCCGCGUGAGUGAAGAAGGCCU
rnacentral:rRNA from 1 species